GAUCAUACCAGCACUAAUGCACCGGAUCCCAUCAGAACUCCGCAGUCAAGCGUGCUUGGGCGAAAGUAGUACUAGGAUGGGUGACCUCCUGGGAAGUCCUCGUGUUGCACCCC
rnacentral:rRNA from 1 species